UACGUAGGUGGCGAGAGUUAUCCGGAAUGAUUGGGCGUAAAGGGUGCGCAGGCGGCGUGUCAAGCAAGCGGUAAAAUAGCGGGGCUCAACCCCGUCGAGCCGUUUGAACUGGCGCGCUUGAGUUCAGGCGAGGUAGGCGGAAUUCGUGGUGUAGCGGUGAAAUGCAUAGAUAUCACGAAGAACUCCGAUUGCGAAGGCAGCAUACCGGCGCCCGACUGACGCUGAAGCACGAAAGCGUGGGUAUCGAACAGG
rnacentral:rRNA from 1 species